GACAGCCAGGCUCUGUCAUGGAGUUGCUUCUGGAUGGAACAACUGUAGUGGGGUUUUUUGACAUAUAGAGUCUGGAUUGUUUCAGAUUCAGCAUGAUUCAGCUGUCUACGUGUCAAAAUUUCCAUAGUGAUGUUCACUUUGGAAUUUCCUGGAAGAUAUGGAGAUAUCUGGGGUUCUUCUUGUGAUGGAUUAAAAGAUGAAGAGUGCUUCUGCUGUGGACCUGGCCAUACAUUGGAUUGUUAUUAGCAGAUAUUCUGAAGAUUUUGCUAAGAAUGUGGGCGGUGUUGGCAUUCAGUGUCGGUGUCAUUAUCUGAAGCUAUCGGCCUUGUGUGUCAUUUAAGCAACGAGUGGGAUGUCUACAUUCCUGAAUACAAUCAAACACAGUAAUGAAUGCUACAGGUCCUGGAACAAACUCUGUGAAUGCAACUGAAUGAAAUUCCUCUGGCAUCAAGAAUUGACUCAGGUGACCCAUCCCUGUGUGGUUGCUACUUACACUUUGUGUGUAAAAAAUUCCAGGAGAGUUGCUGGGCUAGUCUGCCAUAGCAAGGCAACAGAAAAAGGAGUCUCCUUCCACAUGGGAAACCUGGUGUCUUCAGUAAUAAUGCAGCAAAGCAGAAUGUGACAGUCCACAAAUAUAGCCUUGGGCAAAUCUUUCUCUUACUUUUUAUGUGAAGAGAAUAAAAUUGGCCCACUUUAAAGGUCUGUUAUUAAGGAUACUGUACAAAUUUAAUUUCGUUGUUUAAUAUAUUUAAGACUUAUUGCCCACUUUUUUGAGCAAAUAACCUCUAUAAAGCCACUUAAUAGAUUUGCAUUGUUUUGUUGUACUUUAUGCCUUCAAGUCAUUCUCAACUAAUACUAAGCUAAACCUAUCACAGGGCUUUCUGGUGCUGAGAGCAUGUGAUUCUUCCAGUGGGUUUUCAUGGCUGUGUAGGGGAUUGAGCUUUGGUUCCUAAAAUUGUAAUUCAGCACUCAAAUCACUAUACCACUCUGGCUCUAUACACAUACAUUUUAAAAUGCAUAAUCAUAAAUGUAACAUAAUAUAUAAAAUACAUAUAAAGCAUAUUAAACUUAAGGCAGUAGCAAUGGAAUAAAAUCAAAACACUAUAUGUUUCCCACUCCUAGACUACAGUUGUGUGAUACUAUAAUGAAAACAUUUGAAAGAACAAAUACAAGUUUAUGUACCCACAAUAUAUUGUGUUAAAAUUACAGUGGCACAGACAAUCU